UACAGAGGGUGCGAGCGUUAAUCGGAAUUACUGGGCGUAAAGCGCGCGUAGGCGGCUUUGCAAGUCGGGUGUGAAAUCCCCAGGCUUAACCUGGGAACUGCAUUCGAGACUGCAUUGCUAGAGUAUGGGAGAGGGAAGUGGAAUUUCCGGUGUAGCGGUGAAAUGCGUAGAUAUCGGAAGGAACAUCAGUGGCGAAAGCGACUUCCUGGACCAAUACUGACGCUCAUGUGCGAAAGCGUGGUGAGCAAACAGG
rnacentral:rRNA from 1 species